rnacentral:rRNA from 1 species
UACGGAGGGUGCGAGCGUUGUCCGGAAUCACUGGGCGUAAAGGGCGCGUAGGCGGCCUGAUAAGUAAGGGGUGAAAUCCUGCGGCUUAACCGCAGGGCUGCCUUCUAGACUGUCAGGCUAGAGCACAGUAGAGGCAGGUGGAAUUCCUGGUGUAGCGGUGAAAUGCGCAGAUAUCAGGAGGAACACCGGUGGCGAAGGCGGGUCUCUGGGCCGAUACUGACGCUGAGGAGCGAAAGCGUGGGGAGCGAACAGG